CUAUAGGAUCGUUGAAUGCCAGCAGCCUCCUCAGGUAUUGGACUGAGACGGACUUGGAGCCGCUCCCAGCGGGCUGGAUUCAGAGGCGUUACCCGUGGGGCGGAACUGUUUACAGUUGCCAUUCUCCGCUCGCUGCCAUGUACUGUUGGGGUCUCGGUUGUUCUUCUGUCCAUUUACCGCCUCGCACUAGCGACUGCCUUGAUCCUGGAUGCACAAUGCUGAUGCUCUUUGACAGAUGGUACAAUAACUCAGUGACAUCACUUAGAGCAAAAAGCUUAGUAUAAAAGGCGGUGUACAGCCAGACAUCCGGUAGACCAGAGCUUGUGCUGAAUUCCACUUCAUCGUGCAGGACGGCAUUGGGAUAUUCUGCCAAUAAUGUGAAGUCGUCGUGUCAUCUUCUCGGGAAGAACAUUUGGAAUUGCACGCUGCCCUCAUUUGAAGCAAGUAUAAUUCUUUCCCCAUGCUGGAUAUGAUUAUUCGACUGAACAGAUUAACUCCUAGUUACUUCCGAUUAUUACAGAUGCAGCUUGCGGGUGAGGCCGUGGUCCACAGUACUGACCGACUCAUCAACCUAUCUGCGCUGCUCCUUGCCAUGAUGGGGGUUGGUCUGUCUUCCUAUAGUGUUAGGAGGAUGACCGUGAAAAGAGACUCUCCGACAAGCAGCUGAAACCGUUACAGACUAGGGGACAAGGACCCAAGCAGACAAUCUGCAACAACAUGUAUACUGGACCGAUACCCACGUAACAUGGCUCCUUUGUGGUAUUCUGUACAGAUAGAGGGGAAAAACCAGGGAAAUUGCUGAGAAAGCGAAUGACUGAUGCAGCUUCAGAAUGGGAUCAGUGGCACAAUGAGAGUCUUUCAUGUGGACUUGAUAAGUGAGAGAAUGUUGAUGACGUCCAGUGGAAGGUCUCACUGCAAGAAAUCACUUAAAGUCAUUGUUUUAACAGCAAGUUGCAAACUCAAGAAGUGUUUGACGUCAUUUGUAAUAAGGACUCUGAGACCUGUGUGUCCGAACAAUUGUGAUUUAAGGGCGUACCAAUGUAGUGCAUCAACUUGUUCAGGCCUUGGUUCGAUCUGAGCACUUCAGCUCCCUGUAUGCUGUAUCCUGGAUUUACAUAUUUUUUCUACAGUGUUUACGAAUGGUUCAAAAUAUAAUGGUCAAAGUGUGGAGAAUGGAUGCAGUAUCAAUGGGGGGUGAGCCUAAUGAGCAGGGGCUUCCCUGCUACCACUGGUACAUCACAGUAAGAGAUGGGCAUUCAUGGACAAUGAAGAGAUUCACAUUUGCUCAU